rnacentral:rRNA from 1 species
AUGCACGCUGGCGGCGCGCCUAACCCAUGCCAGUCGAACGAUUAAAGCACCUUCGGGUGUGUAUAAAGUGGCGAACGGCUGAGUAACACGUGGGCAACCUGCCCCUUUCAUUGGGAUAGCCACGGGAAACCGUGGAUAAUACCGAAUACUUCGAGACUUCCGCAUGGAAGACUCGAGAAAGCUCCGGCGGAGAGGGAUGGGCCCGCGGCCUGUUAGCUUGUUGGUGGGGUAACGGCCUACCAAGGCAAUGAUGGGUAGCUGGGUUGAGAGACCGACCAGCCAGAUUGGGACUGAGACACGGCCCAGACUCCUACGGGAGGCAGCAGUGGGGAAUCUUGCACAAUGGGCGAAAGCCUGAUGCAGCGACGCCGCGUGCGGGAUGAAGGCCUUCGGGUUGUAAACCGCUUUCAGCAGGGACGAGGCGAAAGUGACGGUACCUGCAGAAGAAGCCCCGGCUAACUACGUG